rnacentral:rRNA from 1 species
ACCUACGGGGGGCAGCAGUAGGGAAUUUUCGUCAAUGGGCGCAAGCCUGAACGAGCAAUGCCGCGUGAACGAGGAAGGUCUUCGGAUCGUAAAGUUCUGUUGAAGGGGAAAAAGAGCGGAGAGAGGAAAUGGUCUCCGAUUGAUAUUACCCUUCGAGGAAGUCACGGCUAACUACGUGCCAGCAGCCGCGGUAAUACGUAGGUGGCGAGCGUUAUCCGGAAUGAUUGGGCGUAAAGGGUGCGUAGGCGGCCUGCUAAGUCUGGAGUGAAAGGUACCGGCUCAACCGGUGCAGGCUCUGGAAACUG